AUGUGCAAGAUGAGUCCAGUGCAGCUGCCGGUCCUCCUCCUCCUCAUGAUACUGACCGCGCCGUCGGCUCACCGGGCGGCCGCGAGCCCCCCGGCGGACCCGGUGCAGUGCUCGUCGGGCGGCGGCACGGCCGACUGCACCUUCUCGACCGCGUACGGCGUGUUCCCGGACCGCUCCACGUGCCGGGCGGCCGCCGUGGCCUACCCUACCUCCGAGGCGGAGCUGGUGCGCGCGGUGGCCAACGCCACGGCCGCCAAGACCAAGAUGAAGGUGACCACCAGGUACGCCCACAGCAUGCCGCCCCUCGCGUGCCCCGGCGCCGGCGACGGCCGGGGCCUUGCCAUCAGCACCCGGUGGCUGAACCGCGUCGUGGCCGUGGACGCGGCCAGGGCGGAGAUCACGGUGGAGAGCGGCGUCACGCUGCGGGAGCUCAUCGCAGCGGCCGCUGGGGCGGGCCUGGCGCUGCCCUACGCGCCCUACUGGUGGGGGCUCACGGUGGGCGGCAUGCUCGGCACCGGCGCGCACGGUAGCUCGCUGUGGGGCAAGGGCAGCGCCGUCCACGAGUACGUCGUCGGGAUGCGCAUCGUCACGCCCGCGCCGGCCUCCGAGGGCUACGCCCGGGUGCGCGUGCUCGCGGCCGCCGACCCGGAGCUGGACGCCGCCAAGGUCUCCCUCGGCGUGCUGGGUGUCAUCUCUCAGGUGACUCUGGCGCUACAACCUCUGUUCAAGCGGUCGACGACGUUCACGGAGCGGGACGACGACGACCUCGCGGAGCAGGUGACCAAGUUCGGCUACCAGCACGAGUUCGCCGACAUAGCCUGGUACCCGGGCCACGGCCGCGCGGUGUACCGCAUGGACGACAGGCUGCCGAUGAACGCCUCCGGCGACGGCGUCCUCGACUUCAUCGGCUUCCGCCCCACUUCGGCCACGGUGAUCAAAGCCAACCGGCUGGUCGAGGAGGCGUCCGAGCGGGUUGGCAACGGCGGCAGCGGCGGCAAGUGCCUGACCGCGAGGGUGACCCACGCCGCGCUGUCGGUGGCCGGCUACGGGCUGGCGCGUCGGAGCGGCGGGCUGUUCACGGGGUACCCGGUGGUGGGGCGGCAGGACCAGAUGCAGGCGUCGGGCGGCUGCCUCACCGGGAAGGAGGACGCGCUCCAGACCGCCUGCGCCUGGGACCCGCGCGUGAGCGACUCGAGCUUCUUCCACCAGACCACCUUCAGCCUGCCGCUUAGCCGCGCGGGCGCGUUCGUCCAGGACGUGCAGCGGCUGCGCGACCUGAACCCGAAGGCCCUCUGCGGCCUCGAGCUCUACGACGGCAUCCUCAUCCGCUACGUCAAGUCCUCGACGGCGCACCUCGGGAAGCCGGCGGCGGCCGGGGAGUCGGCGGACAUGGUGGACUUCGACAUGACCUACUACCGCAGCCGCGACCCCAGGAGGGCGCGGCUCCACGAGGACUUCCUGGAGGAGAUCGAGCAGAUGGGGCUGGUCAAGUACAGCGGCCUGCCGCACUGGGGCAAAAACCGCAACCUCGCCUUCGCCGGCGCGGCGGGCAAGUACCCCGGGAUGCGCCGGUUCCUGCGCGUCAAGAGCGCCUACGACCCCGACGGCCUCUUCUCCAGCGGCUGGAGCGACAUGAUGCUCGGCGCCGGCGGCGCCACCGGGCCGACGACGGACGCGGCCGGGUGCGCGCUGGAAGGGAUGUGCGUGUGCUCGCGGGACGCGCACUGCGCGCCGGAGCAGGGCUACGUGUGCCGGCCCGGGAAGGUGUACAAGGAUGCCAGGGUCUGCACCAAAGUGUAG
rnacentral:rRNA from 1 species